UACGUAGGUGACAAGCGUUGUCCGGAUUUACUGGGCGUAAAGAGCGCGCAGGCGGUCGUGCAAGUCGCGUGUGAAAGCCCCCGGCUCAACUGGGGAGGGUCACGCGAUACUGCUCGACUUGAAGGCAGGAGAGGGAAGCGGAAUUCCCGGUGUAGUGGUGAAAUGCGUAGAUAUCGGGAGGAACACCAGUGGCGAAGGCGGCUUCCUGGCCUGUUCUUGACGCUGAGGCGCGAAAGCUAGGGUAGCAAACGGG
rnacentral:rRNA from 1 species